GACAGUAGAUGACGGUGGAUGACGGUAGAUGACGGUAGAUGACAGUAGAUGACAGUAGAUGACAGUAGAUGACAGUAGAUGACGGUAGAUGACGGUAGAUGACGGUAGAUGACAGUAGAUGACACUAGAUGACACUAGAUGACGGUAGAUGACAGUAGAUGACAGUAGAUGACACUAGAUGACGUUAGAUGACACUAGAUGACGGUAGAUGACACUAGAUGACGGUGAAUUACACUAGAUGACGGUAGAUGACAGUAGAUGACACUAGAUGACGG